rnacentral:rRNA from 1 species
AUUGAACGCUGGCGGCAUGCCUUACACAUGCAAGUCGAGCGGCAGCGCGGGGGCAACCCUGGCGGCGAGCGGCGGACGGGUGAGUAAUACAUCGGAACGUGUCCUUUCGUGGGGGAUAACCAGUCGAAAGACUGGCUAAUACCGCAUGAGAUCUCACGAUGAAAGCGGGGGACCGCAAGGCCUCGCGCGAUUGGAGCGGCCGAUGUCGGAUUAGCUAGUGGACGGGGUAAAGCCCACCAAGGCUACGAUCCGUAGCUGGUAUGAGAGUACGACCAGCCACACUGGGACUGAGACACGGCCCAGACUCCUACGGGAGGCAGCAGGUGGGGUAAUUUUGGACAAUGGGCGCAAGCCUGAUCCAGCCAUGCCGCGUGUGUGAAGAAGGCCUUCGG